AAGAAAGCAUGGGACACAGCCAACAUCAUAGAAGUUUCGCAGCAAGAGCUUGAGUUUCUACUCGAUGAAGAGUACUACGAGAGGAGAAGAAACUACACACCGCAAUACUUUGCUGAGGAUUUCGAGCAGACUAAGAACCGGAGAGACUAUUACCAUUACACACCUGAGGAAAUCAAGCCGUUAUGGCACGACAAUCUGAAGCUGUUGGUUGUGACUGAUGGAACGCUACGGCUUCAUUACUAUACUCCCAAGUUUGAUGGUGUUGUGGUUGGGACGGAAGAUGUGCUUAUAACUCCUUUCACUUGCGAUAGAACGGGUUCUGGUGAUGCUGUUGUUGCAGGCAUUAUGAGGAAGCUGACAACUUGUCCUGAGAUGUUCGAGGACCAAGAUGUGUUGGAGAGACAGCUCCGGUUCGCAGUCGCUGCUGGGAUCAUAUCGCAGUGGACGAUUGGUGCGGUUAGAGGCUUCCCAACUGAAAGCGCGACACAGAAUUUGAAAGAGCAGGUUUAUGUUCCAUCAAUGUGGUAGUUAGAAAGACCGAGAACUGAGCUUCUUAAACUAAAUGUUUUUGAACAAUGUGAGAUGUAUACUGAUUUCACAACUGUAAUCCAAUGUACAAUCAUUUUUUUGUGUGUUCACUGAUAACAACAAUGUGAGAGGGUGGUGAGAACAUGAUACCCUAUGAAACUUAUGUUUGGUUAAGAGACAAAAAAUGCUGUAGCUUAUCCAAGUCUUGAUGCUCUUUCUGUAAGGACAAUCGAUUCUACAAGCUGUCUGAGCAGAACUCGGGUUACCUCCUUUCCUAUGUUGUACAAAAACGCUAUAAACUCGAUGAAAGUUGUUCUCUGUCGUGAUCCUGCAGUGUUUGACGUGAGAUUCUCGACUGUUUCUGAUAACUGUAUCAACACUAUCUUAAGGCACUCUUCUUCCAUGUCUUUGUCUCCGUUCUAAGACUUGAUUUUUUCCCAGAGCUGCGAGAAUAAGACUUGUUACAGAUGCAAUCAGGUUGUGGGUUCGCAUAGAAAUUCUCCUCUAGCCUGGGAAGUGCAGCAGGCUGUCUCGCAUAUGGCGCUCCAGUCCUGUCUCUGUUUAGUCGCUUAACCUCUGAAGCAAACUCUUCCCAAGAUAUGAAACCAUCAUCUAAAUGAUCUAUCAGUCUAACAAAAUUCAACCUGAAAUAAACACAGAACAAAUCAGCAAACAAGCAGUGAAUGAAUUAUAUUUCAUGUUAACAUAUACCUGUCUGGAUUUAUAGAUUUCCUAAAUCCUUCAAACCUUCUGUGCCCUUGUACCGCCUUAGCCAUGUUUCCAUCAUACGUAUACACAAAAACAUCGCUUUCAAGGGCCACAAUGUAGUCCAACGCAGCAAGCCGGUUCUGGUAUGGACUGAAAGGCUCCAACUCUUCUUCAGUUGCAAGAGUUGAAUGAGAGAAGACAUUUGGGUACUCCGCGCAGAAAGCAUCCAUACUCUUGCUUCCAUAGAUUUCACCAGCAACUAUAUAUACAGUUGUGGAGGAUGGAUAUCCCAUUGCCUUUAGAAAUAUGGCUGCUUCUCGCGGAGACAUAGGACAUCCGCCUUCAAUCCGUCUCUCUAUGCUAUCGAUCUCUUUCUCCUUCCAGUGUUUGACAUUGUACCUCAUGAUUCUCAGGUCUUCGGCUUCCUCAGAUGUAAGAUUGUGGCUGCAACCUGUAAAGGCAAGCAUGUCCUUCUCGUAUCUGCAAAUUUAAAACAUUUGACUCAAAACCAAGAUCCAGAUAAUAUCCCUUGCUGAUUAAAAAAAAGAAAAAAAUGCUGGAUUUACCUCAAAUGCAGAGCGAUAUACGGCUCACUGUUAUUUCUUAAACGGUUAACCAAUACAUUUCCCAGGUCCUCGAUCUCCUUCGUGUACGCCAGUGCCUUGUAAUUAGCACGACAUCUCAGUCUUUGGAUCGAUGGUGGCAAGCCGCCGGAACCGAGGGAAGUAAUCUUCGUCAUCUUCUUAUAAAGCACCGAAUAGAAAAAAAAACACGGUUCGGGUUUUUUCACAGGUUGACCCGGUUUGAUAAGAACCCGGGUCAGGACCCGAUAUGAUUUUUUUUUUAUUUUCAUUUUGAAAGAGGAAGAAGAUUUGGAUAAACCCUGGGCACAUCGAAGUAAAAACGAAACCCCUUCAUGGCUUCACUUCAUCUCUUUCCUCACCUUCACCAUUUUGAUCCAACCAUACAUCGCAGGGAGAUAGUAGCUCACACCCGGAAGCAAUUCCUAUCUCCGAGAGCUUCGAUUAAUGGCGGUAACACAAACGGAGCCGCAGCGGCGGAAACCGCUAAGCCUAGUCGCAAGGGGAGGAAGAAGAAGGAAAACUUGACGGUUACUAGUAUCGAGACGAAUCCUGAUUCGGAUCCUGAUUUAGUGGAUUACGACGACGGGAUGGACUUUCCGUACGACGACCCGCCUCUCGUCUGCUGCUUCGGAGCCGUGCAGAAGGAGUUCGUUCCUGUGGUGCGAGUCCACGAUAACCCGAUGCACCCCGACAUUUACUCCCAGUGGAAGAUGCUGCAGUGGGAUCCGCCGGAGUUCGGGCGGGCUCCGGGAGGUCCGCCGUCUAACGUGGCGAUCUCGCAUGUUCGGUUGGGCGGUAGAGCUGCGUUCAUGGGGAAGGUCGGUGAAGAUGAUUACGGGGAAGAGCUUGUUUUGAUGAUGAACAAGGAGAGAGUUCAGACGAGGGCUGUGAAGUUCGAUGAGGGUGCGAGUACUGCGUGUACUCGCGUUAAGAUUAAGUUUGAGGAUGGGAAGAUGAAGGCGGAGACGGUUAAGGAGCCGCCUGAGGACUCGCUUCUUGCUUCGGAGUUGAACUUAGCCGUGCUGAAAGAGGUAAAGUCUUUCAUUUUAUGGUUUAGGAUGAACACAGUUUGGCUUUUUAAGCUGUUUUCUACAAUGCCAUGAUAGGUUGAGCAUGAUGAGUCAUACGAUGUGUCAUGGCUAUUAAGCUGUUUUGUUUACUUCUGCUUUAUUACAAUGCAGGCGAGGAUCUUCCAUUUCAAUUCAGAAGUGUUGACGUCACCCACAAUGCAAUCAACUCUAUUCAAGGCAAUACAAUGGUCCAAGAAGUUCGGAGGGCUUAUUUUCUUUGACUUGAAUCUUCCGUUACCGUUAUGGAGAUCACGGAACGAGACUCGGAAGCUGAUCAAGAAAGCAUGGGACACAGCCAACAUCAUAGAAGUUUCGCAGCAAGAGCUUGAGUUUCUACUCGAUGAAGAGUACUACGAGAGGAGAAGAAACUACACACCGCAAUACUUUGCUGAGGAUUUCGAGCAGACUAAGAACCGGAGAGACUAUUACCAUUACACACCUGAGGAAAUCAAGCCGUUAUGGCACGACAAUCUGAAGCUGUUGGUUGUGACUGAUGGAACGCUACGGCUUCAUUACUAUACUCCCAAGUUUGAUGGUGUUGUGGUUGGGACGGAAGAUGUGCUUAUAACUCCUUUCACUUGCGAUAG
rnacentral:lncRNA from 1 species